rnacentral:rRNA from 1 species
GACAGAGGGUGCAAACGUUGCUCGGAAUUACUGGGCGUAAAGCGCGUGUAGGCGGUCACGCAAGUCAGGUGUGAAAGCCCAGGGCUCAACCCUGGAAGUGCACAUGAUACUACGUGGCUGGAGUACUGAAGAGGAGAGCGGAAUUCCCGGUGUAGAGGUGAAAUUCGUAGAUAUCGGGAGGAACACCAGUGGCGAAGGCGGCUCUCUGGGCAGAUACUGACGCUCAUGCACGAAAGCGUGGGGAGCAAACAGG